rnacentral:rRNA from 1 species
UUUAUUUCUUCUCCUGGAGAGAUAAUGAAAGACGGAGCAAUCUGUCACUUGCAGAUGGGCCUGCGGCGCAUUAGCUAGUUGGUGGGGUAACGGCUCACCAAGGCGACGAUGCGUAGCCGACCUGAGCAGGGUGAACGGCCACACUGGGACUGAGACACGGCCCAGACUCCUACGGGAGGCAGCAGUAGGGAAUCUUCCGCAAUGGGCGAAAGCCUGACGGAGCAACGCCGCGUGAGUGAUGAAGGUUUUCGGAUCGUAAAGCUCUGUUGCCAGGGAAGAACGUCCGGUAGAGUAACUGCUACCGGAGUGACGGUACCUGAGAAGAAAGCCCCGGCUAACUACGUGCCAGCAGCCGCGGUAAUACGUAGGGGGCAAGCGUUGUCCGGAAUUAUUGGGCGUAAAGCGCGCGCAGGCGGUCACUUAAGUCUGGUGUUUAAGGCCAAGGCUCAACCUUGGUUCGCACUGGAAACUGGGCGACUUGAGUGCAGAAGAGGAGAGUGGAAUUCGCACGUGUAGCGGUGAAAUGCGUAGAUAUCGUGGAGGAACACGCAGUGGCGAAGGCGACUCUCUGGGCUGUAACUGACGCU